GCCCACUAAUCUCUGAUUGCUGCAUACCUUCACUUGUUGAAGUUCGGGACAGUCUCAAGGAUAGUCCCAGUUUCCAAGACCUACUACUGGAUAGAGCUUUACAGAGGGCUGGCUUUGGAACUGUGACCAAUGCAGUCUAUAACUCCACAGAACAUAAACAAAGUUAACUUGUUUGAAGACAACUUUAUGUAUCUGAAUAUUUGUUAUCCACUGUAUGUGUGUGUGUGUGUGUGUGUGUGUGUGUGUGUGUGUGUGUAUAUCGGCUAGUUAUUUAUUUAGGUUCACGGCUGGAUAAGACAGCUUGACACCUUGCCUGGGAGAAGAAUGCAUGCUGUCCAACACUAUAUUUGGAAAAAGGAUCAGCAGUUAAGGCCCAAAGGCCCCAGCCUCGGUGUGACAGAAUAAAAAGGCAGAUGAGUGAAAGGAGAGCACAGUGGCUUGAGGGAAAAUACAUAGACCCACCUCCACACCUGAAAUGUAGUCGUCCAUGGUGGCCUCCAGUUCUAAAACAGGCAGUUCUCCGAAGACAAGAACCCGAUACCAGCUUCAACCAGAACCUCCCCCCCCACGGCAGAAAUUCAGCCAUCCAUGUUGACCCCCAGUUCUGAGCAGGCGCAUCCCACAAAGACAAGAACCUUAAGUCAGCUCCAUCCAGAAGCAACAAGGGGGCCAAGAGGACAGCUAAGCGGCACCCACCCUAAUGCUAGAGUUGCUGCUGCUUCCACCCUUGUAAAAGACCUCCCACUGACCAGGUCCACAGAGGAGGUGAAUUACAAAAGGCUGGUCAUGAACCUGUUAGGAAGAGGUUACCUGUUGCUUUCCCCUGCAGGAUAUGUGGCAAGCCUAAAAUUAAAUAAUAAUAAAUUGCCACAGCCAUUGCAGGGGGAGGCAAAACUGCUGUGGAUUGGCUGGGUCUCAUCAAGGAUCACAUCAUGGAGGGUCGUUUUAAUGU